rnacentral:tRNA from 2 species
GGGGUCGUAGCCUAGCAAGGUAGGGCGUUGGGCUCCAGACCCAAAGGCCGGGGGUUCAAGUCCCCUCGACCCCA